CUACCUAUAUCGUUCAUAGAGCACGUAAAUUCCCGCCUCCGAAGCAGUCCCCCAAAUUUAUUUAUUACAAUUAUAAUAAUGUUUUUACAAAGUAUUACAAAUCAAAUAAGAAACCAAACUAAACUAAUACAACCCAGUUAUAUAACUAUCCCGGCGAUUCUUUGAAACCCCGUAAUUGUCUAUUUAAACCUGCGAGACAAGAUAUGAUGGCAAGCAAAUAGGAAUAUAUAAUAACAACAUCGAAUUAUUCCUAGACAUGCUUUCUUAAGGCUUUCACAGCAUGAUGCAAUCAACACACAUAGGGUAUGAAAAUUACAUUAUUUUGGAAACUUACCGGUGAGCAACAACAAAAGAAAUAACAAGAAUAACAAAAGCCAGGCACUUGUAACAGUGAAAGAUGUUUUAGUAAGCCCCGAAGAACAGUAGAAGAAACCUCAAAAGUAUCUAAUUACUUUUGUUUUAGAGAGUAGUAGUAAUAAUUGUAAUAGAACUUAAAAGCUUGUAAACUUGAGAAGUCUGAGGGUUUUUUGUAUAUAGAGAGUGUAUAGGGAGUGAAAGAGGGUGAUAAGAGAUCCCCAAAUAAUAAGAAAGGGCAUUGUUUAUAUAAUAAAAGAGUCAAGACAAAUAACGGAAAAAGAAUAUCUUUUGUCAAUCAAUUAAGAAAAAAUAAAAUCAGUCCAUCAAUCAAUGACAAUUUUUCAUAAAUAUUCCACCUAUAUUAAUCAAGUAACUUAAAUCAGCCUAAGCAUAGAAGGAAGAGAAAUAUCAAUCAACAUAGAGCAUAUUUGAUGUAAUCAAUCAACAAAAUUAUCCUUAAAUAUUAAGAUCACACUCAAUAAUAUAAAAUUAGUCAAAAUAAUCAAAUUAUCCAUCAAUUCAAAUUUUCUUAAUUAAGUAGAGUGAAUCAAUCAGCACACAUUUACCAUAAAUAGAUUUAAAAAUAUAAAAUAAAAAACACUAAAAAUACAGAUAUGCAUCCGCUUUUACUGAUUAGAAAAUAUGAAACAAUUAAUCACAAAUUAUUUUAAUUGCAUGAUUUUCAAAAGUUUUCAUACACAACCUGAUAAUGUAAAUCAGACAGAUCCCCGUAAUUAAGCACGAAACAGUUAAUGUUAUUUUGCACAUAAAUCAGACAUGCCAAUGAACAUAUGAACAUCACAAUUCCAUCGUAUGCAUAACAAAAAAAAUUAAAGUGAACAUUUGGGGUUUGGACAGUUCACACAGCAACAGGUGUUUUGACACACGGAUAUAAACACAUAAACGUACAUUACUUGCAAGAAUCAAUUCACAAUUAAUAAUUAAGUUUUGUCAAUUCCAAAUGAAAUAAAAAAAUGUCGACAAAAAAUAAAAAUAUAUAAGAAGAUGAUAACUUUUAAAAUAGAAAUGGGGAAAUCAAACCUUGGACAGAUCCUUAAGAAUCCGUCAUGAGGAUGAACGUUUUCUGGUGACUCGAACUGAAGUAGCGGUGGUAGGAGGUGGCUGAUUGUUUCGCCGGCUGGGGAUGUUCGACGGCGUCAGUAACGGAGCAGCGACGAGGUACUGGGCCUUCUCCGGUGAAGCAGCGGCGGGGAAGGGCGAACUAGUCGCGAUGGCGAUGACUUGUGCUGGCAGAUCUGGGCAUUGACAGAGGAGAGUCGUGACGCCACGGCUGGAGGCGGUUGUUUCACUGGCGGUUGCUGCAGAUCUGGACGGAGGCGGUGGAGCGGUGAUUGAGGAGUGAGGGAAACGGUGGUGCUAGUGGCGGCGAGGUCGCGAUGGAACGGGUAAGGAGGAGGACGGGAGAGGUGGGUGAGAGAGAGGGAGAAAGAGGCGGGUGAGAGAGGGAGGUGGAGGCUGAUGAAAAUAGUAAUGAGAUUAGGAUUUUGGGUUGUUGGAUUAAAAAGAAAAGAAAG
rnacentral:lncRNA from 1 species